GACGAACGCUGGCGGCGUGCUUAACACAUGCAAGUCGAACGGAAAGGCCCGCUUGCGGGUACUCGAGUGGCGAACGGGUGAGUAACACGUGGGCAACCUGCCCUCAGCUCUGGGAUAACU
rnacentral:rRNA from 1 species